rnacentral:rRNA from 1 species
AGUGAACGCUGGCGGUAGGCCUAACACAUGCAAGUCGAACGGCAGCACAGUAAGAUUUUGUCCCUACGGGUGGCGAGGGGCGGACGGGUGAGGAAUACAUCGGAAUCUUCUAUUUCGUGGGUGACAACGUAGGGCAACUUAUGCUAAUACCGCAUAUUAUCUACGGCUGAAAUCAGGAGAGCUUCGGACCUUUCGUGUUUGAAUGAGCUGAUGUCGCAUUAGCUAGUUGGCAGGGUAAAGGCCCACCAAGGCGACGAUGCGUAGCUGGUCUGAGAGGAUGAUCAGCCACACUGGAACUGAGACACGGUCCAGACUCCUACGGGAGGCAGCAGUAGGGAAUAUUGGGCAAUGGGCGAAAGCCUGAUCCAGCCAUGCCGCGUGAGUGAUGAAGGCCUUCGGGUUGUAAAGCCCUGUUGUUAGGGAAGAAAAGCAGCAGGUUAAUACCCCGAUAUUCUGACGGUACCCAAAGAGAAAGCACCGGCUAACUUCGUG